UGAGGAUGAUGAUGACCCAAGAAACUUGAACAAGCCCGAUGGUGACAAGAAGACUAAGGAGAAGAUGAAGAGAGAGCACGAAGCAUCGAGCUUGCGGGACAAGAUUGAUGCCAUGGUGCAAUCAAAUGAGUUGAUGUUAGCGAAGACGUUGGAGAUAAAGAAAGAGUUGGCCGAGAAGAAGGCACGGGAGAAGCAAGAAAAAUGGCAAUUGCUUAAGGACGAG
rnacentral:rRNA from 1 species